rnacentral:rRNA from 1 species
AUGGUGGACCCCGUGACCGGGUUAGGAAUAGGCAUGAAAGCUCUAGGGUGGGUGGCAUCGCCCAUCAUCUCCGAGCUUUUCAAGAAAUGCUCCACCUACCUCAGCUUCGACGCAUCGGAGAAGCUGCGGCAACUUGGGCCAAAACUUAUAUUGCUCGAGCGGGCGAUGGAGGUAUUUGACAAGAUCCCCGGCAGGGAUCGUCUGGAGAAGCUGUUUGAGGAUCUCAAGUCUGCUUUCUAUGAAGCUGAAGACAUCUUGGAUGAUGUUGAGUACCACUGUCUUGAGAAGGAGAUCCACAGCAUGCCUCCACGCAAGAGGGAUUGGGUGAAGAAACUCCUGCCCAGCCAAUGCUUGAAAAUUAAGGAGACUGGUAUGCCCAAAAAGGAAUUGAAGGAUAGUCUAGAGAAGAUAGAAGGAAUUAUAAACACUGCAUACAAGUUUGUUGAACAUCUCAAGUUGUUGACUGUAAGUAAUGUCCAGGGAAGCCAAGCUGUUCCUGCCAGUUCAGGUGGUUUAGCAACUACUGCGGCUCCUCCGCCAAUAGUAAUAGGCCGCGAUAAAGAGCGUGACCAGAUCAUUGCAAUGCUUCAUGAGAAGGAAGGUGAUGAUCAGCUAGACACAAACAGCAAUUUAUGUUAUUCUGUAAUAGGUAUUCAUGGCAUCGGCGGGUCUGGGAAAUCAACCCUUGCACAGUUAGUUUGUGACCAUGAGAAAAAGUACAAGCAAGAGAAAAGGGACGGCCAUUUUGACCUUGUAAUGUGGGUUCAUGUUUCUCAGAAUUUUAGUGUGGAUACUAUUUUCAAGGAGAUGUUUGAGGCAGCUACAGGGCAUUCAUGUGCUCACUUCAAUAAUCUUAAUACCCUACAAGAUAAGUUGGAGGAGAAACUACAUGGAAAAAGAUUCCUUUUAGUACUCGAUGAUAUCUGGUGUAACAUUAAGGAUGAGAGGCAGCAAGGGGAAUUGCGAAAGAUAGUUUCACCACUCAAAGCUGGAGAAGUAGGAAGCAAGGUUCUGGUGACUAGUCGAAGCGAGGAUGCAUUACUAGUUCUGGGUGCUAUAAAGCCGACAUGUAUUCCCAUACCUGAUUUGGAUGCUCAGGUCUUCCAUAGUUUGUUAAUGCAUUAUGCACUUGAAGGUGUUGUCAUAGAUGAUCAUGUUCGAAGAAGACUCAGUAUGAUUGGGGCUGACAUUGCAAAAAAGCUUAAGGGAUCACCUCUAGCAGCCAGGAUUGUGGGAAGACGGCUAGGCAGGAGACCCAAAGCUGAGUUUUGGGUAACUGUUAAAAAUGGGAAGCUUGUCGACGGGACUAUGGGAGCUCUGUGGUGGAGCUACCAACAUCUUGAUCAGCAGGCUAGGCGAUGCUUUGCUUACUGUAGUAUUUUUCCCCGAAGACGUCAAUUGUAUCUUGAUGAGUUAAUUAAAUUGUGGGUGGCAGAAGGGUUUAUAAGAACACCAAAUGAACGGGAGGAUGUAGAAGAUGUUGGUCGGGAAUACUUUGAUGAGUUAGCAUCAACCUCAUUUCUGCAAAAGGCAGGAAAGUACAAUGGCAAUGACUACUAUUUACUUCAUGAUCUUGUGUAUGAUUUAGCAGAGAUGGUCGCCGGAAGUGAUUGCUUCAGAAUCGAAAAUGGCUGGAGAUGGGAAGAACCCAAGAGAGGAGUAGGGUGGCGAGGAGAUGUUCCUCUAAGUGUCCGCUAUCUUUUUGUUCAGAAUUACGAUGCGGAAUUGAUUACCAAGAAAAUUCUUAAAUUGAAAAGUUUGCGCACUCUGAUCAUUGAUGCUAUUGAAAUGUAUACACCAGUUGAGGAAAAAGUCAUUGCGAGUAUAUUCAAGAAGCUGCAGAAACUUCGGGUACUAACCGUGGGGUGUUGUAAUAAUUGGGUAAUCAGGAAGCCCGAUGUGUUAUACAUCCCAGAAGCUAUUAUUGAGUUAAAGCAUCUACGCUAUCUUGCUUUUAGGACAAACAUGUUAUGCAGGGUAAUUUUACCAAACGCAAUGUCCAAGCUUUACCACAUGCAGCUGCUAGAUUUUGGUGAGUGCAAAAAGAUGCAAUUUUCCUACGGUGACCUUAUCAAAUUGCGGCAUGUAUUUGGCUUUUCAGGAAUGGAUAUUUCCAACAUCGGCAGGCUGACCUCACUCCAAACAAUACCAUCCUUCAUAGUAAGAAAGGAACAAGGAUAUGAAGUAAAGCAGCUGAGGGGCCUAAACAAGCUUCACGGUAGACUUAGCAUCAGCGGUCUUGAAAAUAUUGAGAGCAAGGAGGAGGCUCUUGAAGCCAAUCUAGCUGGCAAGGAGCAACUAACACAACUAGUAUUGUACUGGGGUGGUGAUACGAGUCGCAAUCCAGAAGUUCAAGCAGAGGUACUUGAAGGCCUUUGUCCUCCUGUGGGGCUUGAGACACUGCACAUUUUGGGUUAUGAAGGUUCGAAGUACCCAAAUUGGAUGGUGAGUACGCAUAGCGAAGGACCAAAUGAGCUGCAAGAACUAUGGUUGUAUGGAUGGAGCCAACAUGGACCUGCUCCUGAACUCGAGGCUUUCGCUCAUCUUUGUUCGUUGGAGCUUUGGAACUGCACCUGGUUCGCCUUACCAUGCAAUAUGAAGCACCUCAUGUCGCUCAAGAGAUUAUUGAUCGAUGCAUGCUUGAAUAUUCGGUCACUUCCAACAUUGCCCCUGUCACUCGAGGAGUUUACACUCAAGCGGUGCAACGUUGAGUUUGUGAAGUCUUGCGAGACACACGGCCAUCCAAACUGGCAAAAGAUUGAGCACGUUCCCAUGAAAAGUCUUCUAAGUCAAGGAUGUAAGACUAUGAUUUGCGUUGCUGUUUUUUUUUCAUUUGUAUUUGUAGAGUGCUGCUUCCGUGAGGACGAACUGUUACUAACAACUUACCCUUUUUUCAACUUAUUUGUUAGCUUUCCGUUCUCACGAGGAUGUAUGAUGGUCUUGUGUCAUGAAGACAGCGGAGGGAACGUUCAACGGAGAGAAUUUGUAGUGGUACAAAGCAGCGCAUGUUACCGUCCUACCAAUGCACAGUAG